UCUUCACUGAUGAUUGAUACAGUGACUUUCGUUCUUCUGAGUUUCACUGAAGCUAACAUUUUCUGUCCUGAGAAGA